GGUUUAAAAAGUGUUUGAGUGCAAAUCAAACGAUGGGUCUAAGAUGAUCCUUAAGCCU
rnacentral:tRNA from 1 species